GUAGUCCACGCCGUAAACGAUGGAUACUAGUUGUUGGCCGUAUCGACCCGGUCAGUAACGAAGCUAACGCGUUAAGUAUCCCGCCUGGGGAGUACGGUCGCAAGAUUAAAACUCAAAGGAAUUGACGGGGACCCGCACAAGCGGUGGAGCGUGUUGUUUAAUUCGAGGCUAAGCGAAGAACCUUACCAGGGUUUGACAUCCUAGGAAUUACUGCGAAAGUAGUGAGUGCCUUCGGGAACCUAGUGACAGGUGUUGCAUGGCCGUCGUCAGCUCGUGUCGUGAGAUGUUUGGUUAAGUCCAUCAACGAGCGCAACCCUUAUGAUUAGUUGGAUUUUUCUAAUCAGACUGCCCCGGUAACGGGGAGGAAGGGGGGGGAUGAUGUCAGGUCUGUAUUACCCUUACAUCCUGGGCUACAAACGCGCUACAAUGGCCGGUACAAAGGGCAGCUAAGUCGCGAGACGGAGCAAAUCCCAUCAAAGCCGGUCCCAGUUCGGAUUGCAGGCUGAAACUCGCCUGCAUGAAGUCGGAAUCGCUAGUAAUCGCAGGUCAGCACACUGCGGUGAAUACGUUCCCGGGUCUUGUACACACCGCCCGUCAAACCAUGAAAGUCACCAACACCCGAAGUCCUAACUCGUUUAGGCCUAAGGUGGGGGGGAUGAUUGGGGGUU
rnacentral:rRNA from 1 species